rnacentral:misc_RNA from 1 species
CUCAAAUUUUUCUCGGGGAACAACUGGCAGAUUAUCAACAACAAUGAUGUUACCAAAGCCAGUCUCAAAAUCGAGCUGUUCUUCUUGGUAAACAUCUUCAUCAUCACUAAUGAUUCCAAAAUUUUCUCCAGGAGGAAGCUGAAUGGAGUUGAGAUCGAUAAGGGAGCAAUCGAUACCAGCCGCGGCACCUCGAGCCUCUAUAUCAUUCAUUAUCAUCACGUCCGCCAUGAUUUCCUUCCUUUGCUUUUAGGAUCCUCUCUCUAGACCUUAGAGAGAGAAAAAGAACAGUAGCCGACUGAAGAUAGAAGGAUGCGGAUUCGAGUACUGGAGGAAGACAGAGAAACCAGAGUGCGUUUUUAGGGUUUUUGGCCAAGUUCUGAGAUUAGG